rnacentral:lncRNA from 1 species
AUGCUUAUUAGUAGUUUUAAUAUCAAAAAGUUUCGUAUACGACAUGCAUGUGUUCUGAAUGAAAUAGUAUGGCAUGAUUUACCUUACGUACAUUUUAUAUAUAUUAUUCCCAUCCUUAUUGGCCAUAAGCAUGACAAGCAUUUUGGAAUUACUUGGAACAUAAAAUUUUACAUCUAUCAUUAUAGGAGAUAGAUGCGCUUACUCUACUAUUCAUGGUAAAUAUGAUCGGGAGUUGUGUCUUAUGAGAUAGCAACUAUAUGCACUUCACCGCCAUAAGAGCAACAACCAUGAAAAUCAGAUUGCUAAUGCCAUUUGAAAUCAUGACCGCUGGAAUGCUAUAAGAUUGUUCGAAGCU